AACGAACGCUGGCGGCAGGCUUAACACAUGCAAGUCGAGCGCCCCGCCAGGGGAGCGGCAGACGGGUGAGUAACGCGUGGGAACGUACCUUUUGGUUCGGAACAACUCCGGGAAACUGGAGCUAUUACCGGAUAAGCCCUAACGGGGAAAGAUUUAUCGCCGAAAGAUCGGCCCGCGUCUGAUUAGCUAGUUGGUGAGGUAACGGCGCACCAAGGCGACAAUCAGUAGCUGGUCUGAGAGGAUGAUCAGCCACACUGGGACUGAGACACGGCCCAGACUCUUACGCGAGGGAGCAGUGGGGAAUAUUGGACAAUCGGCGCAAGCCUGAUCCAGCCAUGCCGCGUGAGUGAUGAAGUCGGUAGAGAAGAAAAGCUCUUUUGUCCGGGAAGAUAAUGACGGUACCGGAAGAAUAAGCCCCGGCUAACUUCGUG
rnacentral:rRNA from 1 species